rnacentral:rRNA from 1 species
UGUAUAAUGGGUCAGCGACUUAUAUUCUGUAGCAAGGUUAACCGAAUAGGGGAGCCGAAGGGAAACCGAGUCUUAACUGGGCGUUAAGUUGCAGGGUAUAGACCCGAAACCCGGUGAUCUAGCCAUGGGCAGGUUGAAGGUUGGGUAACACUAACUGGAGGACCGAACCGACUAAUGUUGAAAAAUUAGCGGAUGACUUGUGGCUGGGGGUGAAAGGCCAAUCAAACCGGGAGAUAGCUGGUUCUCCCCGAAAGCUAUUUAGGUAGCGCCUCGUGAAUUCAUCUCCGGGGGUAGAGCACUGUUUCGGCAAGGGGGUCAUCCCGACUUACCAACCCGAUGCAAACUGCGAAUACCGGAGAAUGUUAUCACGGGAGACACACGGCGGGUGCUAACGUCCGUCGUGAAGAGGGAAACAACCCAGACCGCCAGCUAAGGUCCCAAAGUCAUGGUUAAGUGGGAAACGAUGUGGGAAGGCCCAGACAGCCAGGAUGUUGGCUUAGAAGCAGCCAUCAUUUAAAGAAAGCGUAAUAGCUCACUGGUCGAGUCGGCCUGCGCGGAAGAUGUAACGGGGCUAAACCAUGCACCGAAGCUGCGGCAGC